rnacentral:rRNA from 1 species
GAUUCCUACGGGAGGCAGCAGUGGGGAAUCUUGUGCAAUGGACGAAAGUCUGACACAGCCACGCCGCGUGCGGGAAGAAGGCCUUCGGGUUGUAAACCGCUUUCAGCAGGAACGAAAAUGACGGUACCUGCAGAAGAAGGAGCGGCCAACUACGUGCCAGCAGCCGCGGUGACACGUAGGCUCCAAGCGUUGUCCGGAUUUAUUGGGCGUAAAGAGCUCGUAGGCGGUUCAGCAAGUCGGGUGUGAAAACUCUGGGCUCAACCCAGAGCCUGCACCCGAAACUGCUGUGACUAGAGUUCGGUAGGGGAGUGGGGAAUUCCUAGUGUAGCGGUGAAAUGCGCAGAUAUUAGGAGGAACACCGAUGGCGAAGGCACCACUCUGGGCCGAAACUGACGCUGAGGAGCGAAAGCGUGGGUAGCAAACAGGAUUAGAUACCCUGGUAGUCCACGCCGUAAACGAUGGGCACUAGGUGUGGGUCUCUAACCAACGAGAUCCGCGCCGUCGCUAACGCAUUAAGUGCCCCGCCUGGGGAGUACGGUCGCAAGACUAAAACUCAAAGGAAUUGACGGAAUC